AUGGAUCAAGCAGCAGCAGGCAAUGGCGUUACGUCUGGACCUCUCAAGCUGACGCUAACCAGACGGGUCCCCGGGCUGUUCGACCGGAAGCUGCAUGUCACCGACGGUCAGGGUAGCCUCGUGUUCCGCACGGUGAGCGUCCGCCCCGCCUUCAACUUCCGGCUCCGGACCGCGCUCGCCGACGCGUCAGGGAACCAUCUCAUGCGCUUCCGCAGGAAGUGGAUGGGUUCGCACCACGGGUGGCAAGUCUUCAGGGGCGAAAGCUUCGACCCCAACAAUCUCGCCUUCACGGUGGAGCCAGACAAGAGGUUUCAGAUCAACGCCACCAUGAAGCUCUUCCUGGCGGCCAACUCCACCAGGCAACGAUGCGACUAUCGUGUCCAAGGGAGCUUCCUCACGAAAUCUCUCAAGGUCUACAAGGGCGACUCUUCUCAGGUCGUUGCACAGAUGGUCAAGGAGAAGCCUGCUUUCAGCAUCGGAGGGAAGGGCUACACAAUAUCGGUGAAUCAGAACGAGGAUCUCGAACUGAUCCUUGUCUUCCUCGCGAUACGCCACGAGAAGUUCAGGGUCAGGAGGAUGAACCUGUACACCAUGGGCAUCGCUCAUGCUGUCAAUGCUGCUGCAGGUCUCUUCUUCUAA
rnacentral:rRNA from 1 species